GAGACUUGAGCAAAACUCAGAUUGGAGAAGAAUAUGGUCCCUGGGUUCCCUUUAUUGGAACUAUGUUCCUUUUUAUUUUUGUUUCAAAUUGGUCGGGUGCUCUUUUACCUUGGAAAAUUAUAGAGUUACCCCAUGGGGAAUUAGCAGCGCCCACGAAUGAUAUAAAUACUACUGUUGCUUUAGCUUUACUCACGUCAGCGGCAUAUUUUUAUGCUGGUCUUAGCAAAAAAGGAUUGAGCUAUUUCGAGAAAUAUAUUAAACCAACCCCAAUCCUUUUACCAAUUAACAUCCUAGAAGAUUUCACAAAUCGUAUUAUCGCUUAGCUUUCGACUUUUCGGGAAUAUAUUGGCGGAUGAAUUAGUCGUUGUUGUUCUUGUUUCUUUAGUCCCCUUAGUAAUCCCUAUACCGGUCAUGUUUCUUGGAUUAUUUACAAGCGGUAUUCAAGCUCUUAUUUUUGCAACAUUAGCCGCAGCCUAUAUAGGUGAAUCCAUGGAGGGUCAUUAUUGAAUUGACUAGUUUUGGAAUAUAGAUUUUUUUUUUCAGCUUAGCUCAAUUCAUGCAUGGUUCCAGAUAAUCUGCUUGGUUGCAAUAGUUAGAAAUGCGUAUGAAUAUAUAGCCUAGAGUUGUAGGAGAGAGAAUAGAAUAGACUAUAUUAUGGAAUUUUCAAAGUAUAUAUGCAUUAAGGAGGGUGGAGUCAGGCUAGAUCUAUACUAUAAUAAAUAUCCUUAAUAUCUAUAAGUGGAGUCCUCUUUUAUGCGGGUUUCCACUUUAAGCAAUGAUUUUAGAAUCCGAUUCAAUAGAAAAUGAGAAAAUAUGCAAACAAAAUAGAAGAAACAAAUGUAUAUAGGAUAUUGAUAUUAUAUUAUAUAUUCCUAGGUUAGAUUCAUUAUCUAAUCCGAUAUAUGGAUAUAGAAUUCCCUUCUAUGUAGUUCGGACAAUUCACAUUUCAAUUUGAUUUCAAUUUGUACUUUUUAGUUCGUAUACUUCUCCCCAAUAGAGCUUAGAAGUAAGAAUUUUUUGGUUGAUUGUAUCCUUAACCAUUUCUUUUUUUUUGACACGAGGAACUACUCACCAUGAAUCCACUAAUUGCUGCUGCUUCUGUUAUUGCUGCUGGAUUGGCCGUAGGGCUUGCUUCUAUUGGACCUGGAGUUGGUCAAGGUACUGCUGCAGGACAAGCUGUAGAAGGUAUUGCGAGACAGCCAGAAGCAGAAUACGAGGUAAAAUACGAGGUACUUUAUUGCUUAGUCUAGCUUUUAUGGAAGCUUUUAAACAAUUUAUGGACUAGUUGUGGCACUAGCGCUUUUAUUUGCGAACCCUUUUGUUUAAUCCUAAAAAAAAAGUUCUUUCGAUUUCGUAUUUAGAUACUUUUUUCUUUUUUUAGUAAAUUGGUAUUUGCUUCCGCAAUUCCAAUUAUAUCAAUACUUUAUUUAAUUUACUCCUAUUUAUUACUCCUGGAAUUAUCUAUUUAUCGGGACAGAUAAUACCGCAUUCUAGGAAGGGCUGAGUUGAGUAUGAUUAAUUUAGAAGAUAUGCUCGCCUUCUUAUUUCCCGUCCUUUAGUUUAGGAAAGUGGAAAGUUUUUUCCUUUUAUUUUAGGAAUUUUGGGAACGGAACAUUUCAACAAAGGAAGCCUUUCACCGGUCAAACAAGACCUAAGACUUAAUCUAAAAGAAAUUACUAGAUUGAAUCUAUUUGCAUUAAAAAAACCGAUCAAAAAAGGGCGAGCGAAGUAAGUGAUCGAAAAACUUUGUUCUUUGUUCGUCCUAUCUAUAAGAGGAGAGCAUAUGAAAAAUGUAACCCAUUCUUUCGUUUUUUUAGUCUCACUGGCCAUCCGCUGGCAGUUUCGGGCUUAAUACCGAUAUUUUAGCAACAAAUCUAAUAAAUCUAACUGUAGUGGUUGGUGUUUUGAUUUUUUUUGGAAAGGGAGUGUGUGCGAGUUGUCUAUUUCAAGAAUAGAUUGGAUCUAUCCGGCUGCACUUUAGAAUAUUUUUUAGUAUUUUUCGGAUAAAUAAGAAAAGGGUGCACGAUCUCGACGAAUUACUUCUGAAUAAAUUCAGAAAUCAUAUGGAAGAACCAUAGCAUUUCGCGACUCAUUGGUAAAUCAAUUUUGAUUCUCUAUAAACCAAGAAUGUGAGACCAUUAACACGGUUAAAGCUAAACUGCUUGAAGUCCAGGCAAAAAGAGGUACUCUUUCUACAACUAUAUUAGUAUUAGUACCGAAUUUAAACGGGAAAUAGCUAAUGUAAAAUUUAUCUGAUAUAGAACACUCAUAUCGAUAAAAUGGUUUGAACUAUUUACUAGAAAAAAAAAGAAGGGGCACCCUGCCCUUUUUUAACCAAUGUCGUAUCGACGACCUAUGUAUAAAAAAGAGAAAUUUUUUGGAUUUGAAGAAAAAAAAAAAGAAUUCUAUUAAUUUUCAUUUUCCAUUUAUUUAGUUAGUUUUUCUUAAUGAAAUUGAAAUUAUUAACUAAAGGGCAAAUAUAAAUAAAGAAACAACUUUGCUGACCAUGAUAUAUUUUUAUCUAGGCGGAAGAGUCCUCUUAAUAUUUAUCUAGUCUUAUAUAGGUUUYGGUAUAUUGAAAUAUAAACAUAAAAAAUAAGAUAGAGGAUAGGCUCAUUACUUAUACUUAAAAAAAGAUAUGGAAAUUGCUAUAGCAAAAAAAGAAAAAAAGGAGCGUGAGAGCCAAAUGAAUCGAAAGAUUCAUGUUUGGUUCGGGAAGAGAUCAUAAAAGUUGUAAACUUACAAAAUAAUCUACUUUCAUUAAAAGAUUUAUUAGAUAAUCGAAAACAGAGGAUCUUGAGUACUAUUCGAAAUUCAGAAGAAUUGCGUAGAGGGACCAUUGAGCAACUCGAAAAAGCUCGGAUUCGAUUACAGAAAGUCGAACUAGAAGCGGAUGAGUAUCGAAUGAAUGGAUACUCUGAGAUAGAACGAGAAAAAGCAAAUUUGAUUAAUGCUACUUCUAUUAGUUUGGAACAAUUAGAAAAGUCUAAAAACGAAACCCUUUAUUUUGAAAAACAAAGGGCAAUGAAUCAGGUCCGACAGCGGGUUUUCCAACAGGCCGUACAAGGAGCUCUAGGAACUCUGAAUAGUUGUUUGAAUACCGAGUUACAUUUCCGUACGAUUCGUGCUAAUAUUGGCAUUCUCGGGUCCCUGGAAUGGAAGAGAUAAUUAAAUUAAUUAGGCCUUGAACUUCUACUUUCGUUUAGAAUUUAGGCAUUAUUUUUCCCCUUGCUUUCGAAAAAAGAGUCAAGAAACACUAAUGGCAACCCUUCGAGUCGACGAAAUUCAUAAAAUUCUCCGCGAACGUAUUGAACAAUAUAAUAGGAAAGUAGGGAUUGAGAAUAUAGGUCGCGUAGUUCAAGUGGGGGAUGGGAUUGCUCGUAUUAUAGGUCUUGGUGAAAUAAUGUCGGGUGAAUUAGUUCCAAUUUGCAGAAGGUACUAGGGGUAUUUGCUCUGAAUUUGGAAUCCAAAAAUGUUGGGAUUGNNNNNNNNNNNNNNNNNNNNNNNNNNNNNNNNNNNNNNNNNNNNNNNNNNNNNNNNNNNNNNNNNNNNNNNNNNNNNNNNNNNNNNNNNNNNNNNNNNNNUUCUUGCCCGCUUCAAGAUAUGAUGAGUAAAUUAAAAAAUAUCAACCUUGGGAUAAAGAGUUUACACUCUUUUAUGUUUACUUCCUACUUUUUUCUUGUACGUAGAAAAUGAGUAUUUUUUUUCUUUUUUACUACAAAUUUAGAAGCUGUUUUAUUUCACUCAUAUAGCUAUCUAGUUUAACUUACCAACCCAAAUACUAAAUAAGAAAAGGAAUAUAAAUAGUUAAUGGAUUUUAUAGGAAAAAGAUCCUAUUUUAACGAAUCACACGUAGAGAUAUUGCUAGCACACAAAAAGUUAAUGGUAUUUCAUAACUAAUGGAUUGAGCAGCAGCUCGUAGACCGCCUGAAAAAGAAUAUUUAUUAUUUGAGCUAUAUCCUGCCAUAAGAAGACCAAUAGGAGCUAUACUUGAAAUGGCAAUCCAUAAAAAACACCAAUACUAAGAUCGGCUAAAACAAAAUGAUAUCCCAAAGGGAUAACUAAAAAACUUAAUAAAACUGAUAUGUCGUAUUAUAGAAGGUCCAAUGCUAAAUAAAGAAAUAUCUCCUCGCGAUGGCAGAAUAUCUUCUUUAAAAAGUAGUUUAGUCCCAUCUGCUAUAGCUUGAAGCAGGCCCAGGGGGCCAGCAUAUUCAGGACCAAUACGUUGUUGUAUCGACGCAGAUAUUUCUCUUUCUAACCACACAAUUAAAGAGUACCUCUAUUGUAAUUCCUAAAAGGAGGGUCAAAAUGGGUAGAAUCGAUAUCAGUCCAUAGACUUCUUUUAAUAAUUCCGAUUUCGAAAAAGAAUUGAUAGUUUCUACCUCUACCCUAUCUAUUAUCAUUUCAACGAUCAACUUCCCCCAUAAUGAUAUCUAUACUACCUAAUAUCGUCAUGAUAUCAGCCAAUUUCAUUUUUUUAACUAGUUGAGGAAGAAUUUGCAAAUUAAUAAAACCGGGUGGACGGAUUUUCCAUCUCCAGGGAAAAAGGCUAUCAUCUCCUACUAGAUAAAUCCCUAAUUCACCUUUUGGGGCUUCCACUCUUACAUAAAGCUCUUGCCUUGACAAUUCAAAAUUGGGGGAAGGUUUUUUACCAAGAAAUUUAUACUCAAAAUCAUUCCAUUCAGAAUUCUUUUCUUUCUUAAAGCGUCGGACUUCUAAAUUCUCAUAAGGUCCUCCAGGAAUUUUUUCUAUAGCUUGUUGAAUUAUUUUGAUGGAUUCGCUCAUUUCACCAACUCGUACUAAAUAGCGAGCUAAUGAAUCGCCUUCUUUUUGCCAUUGGACUUUCCAAUCAAAUUGGUUGUAAGACUCAUAAGGAUCCACUUUACGAAGAUCCCAUUGUAUUCCAGAAGCUCGUAACAUAGGUCCCGAUAAGCCCCAAUUUACUGCUUCUUCUCCGCUAAUAAAACCUACUCCUUCAACUCGCUCUAAAAAAAUGGGAUUCUGUGUAAUAAGUUGUUGAUAUUCAACAACUCCGCGUAAAAAAUAAUCACAGAAAUCUAAACAUUUAUCGAUCCAUCCAUAAGGUAGAUCGGCGGCUACUCCUCCGAUGCGGAAGUAAUUGUGCAUCAUUCGCAUACCUGUAGCAGCUUCAAAUAGAUCAUAUAUUAAUUCUCUCUCUCUAAAAAUGUAGAAAAAAGGAGUCUGUGCGCCGAGAUCCGCCAUAAAAGGUCCAAGCCAUAGCAAGUGAGAAGCUAUACGGCUUAACUCUAACAUAAUUACCCUAAUAUAGCUGGCUCUUUGUGGUAUUUGAAUAUUCUCCAAGAAUUCUGGUGCAUUUACUGUUAUUGCUUCUGUAAACAUAGUAGCUAAAUAAUCCCACCUUGUUACAUAAGGUAAGUAUUGUAUAAUCGUUCGGUUUUCCGCGAUUUUUUCCAUUCCUCUGUGUAAAUACCCUAAUAUGGGUUCACAAUCAAUAACAUCCUCACCAUCAAGAGUAACGAUCAKWCGAAGAACACCAUGCAUUGAUGGGUGUUGAGGGCCCAUAUUGACUAUCAUGAGAUCUUUUUUGUAAGNNNNNNNNNNNNNNNNNNNNNNNNNNNNNNNNNNNNNNNNNNNNNNNNNNNNNNNNNNNNNNNNNNNNNNNNNNNNNNNNNNNNNNNNNNNNNNNNNNNNUACUCUAUAAGGAUCAUCUAGAAAGCAGAGAGCUUUGGUUCCAUUCAAAUAGAAAAGCUGACAUAGAUGUUAAGUGGUGAGAAUAUCCAUAAAGGAGCCGAAUGAAAUCAAAAUUUCAUGUUCGGUUUUGAAUUAGAGACGUUAAAAAUAAUCAACCAACGUCGACUAUAACCCCUAGCCUUCCAAGCUAACGAUGCGGGUUCGAUUCCCGCUACCCGCUCCAUUCUGUAUAAAAGGAGUAUUCUAUUUGUCUAGACAUGUUAAAGGCUUGUAUUCAAGCCUUUUUUGUCCACCAGUUUCUGGUACUACAGAGCGGAGUAGAGCAGUUUGGUAGCUCACGAGGCUCAUAACCUUGAGGUCACGGGUUCGAUUCCCGUCUCCGCACUUAGCAGUCUCUAUAAAAGGAGUAUUCUAUUUCUCUAGAUAUGGUAGAGGGGCGUAUCCAACCCUUUUUUAUUCAUUAGUUCCGGGCCCUAGAGGGCAAAAUUGAGCAAUUUGCGAAGCCACUUGCCUUCACAAAAAGAAGGCGCAAGGCUUCUCCCUACCUUGCAGAAAAAUAAAAAAUGAAAUGAAAGGGACAGUCUACCUCUCCCUUCCUUUUAAAAACAGUUUGCCCGUUGUUUGUCUCAGUUAAUACCCAAUACGAGGCUCUGUUGGCUAGUUCUAUUUCUGNNNNNNNNNNNNNNNNNNNNNNNNNNNNNNNNNNNNNNNNNNNNNNNNNNNNNNNNNNNNNNNNNNNNNNNNNNNNNNNNNNNNNNNNNNNNNNNNNNNNCCAAGUCAAGAUGAUAUGGGUCGCCCCUUCUUCUUGCGCCAAAGAUCUUACCAUUUCCGAAGGAACUGGGGCUACAUUUCUUUUCAAUUUCCAUUCAAGAGUUUCUAUCUGUUUCCACGCCCUUUUCUUGAGACCUCGAAACAUGAGGACAAAUUACUUCUCUUAGGAACACAUACAAGAAAAAGGAUAACGGUAGCCCUCCCAUUAACUACUUCAUUUUCAUUUAUGAAUUUCAUAGUAAUAGAAAUCCAUGUCCUACCGAGACAGAAUUUAGAACUUGCUAUCCUCUUGCCUAAUAGGCAAAGAUUGACCUCUGUAGAAAGACUGAUUCAUUCGGAUCGAUAUGAGGACCCAACUCCGUUGCAUUGCCAGAAUCCAUGUUCCAUAUUUGAAGCGGGUUGACCUCCGUGCUUCUCUCAUGGUACAAUCCUCUUCCUGCUGAGCCCCCUUUUCUCCUCGGUCCACAGAAGAAAAAAWUGUAUCGGACUGGUGCCGACAGUUCAUCACGGAAGAAAGAACUCACAGAGCCGGGAUCGGUAACUAAUAGAAUAGUACUACUAACUAAUACUAAUAUAUAGAAAUAGAUAUCUAGAAAUAGAAACGAACUAAUAUAUAGAUAAUCGAAAUUGAAAAGAACUGUCUUUUCUGUAUACUUUCCCCGUUCUAUUGCUACCGCGGGUCUUAUGCAAUCGAUCGGAUCAUAUAGAUAUCCCUUCAACACAACAUAGGUCAUCGAAAAGAUCUCGGACAACUCACCAAAGCACGAAAGCCAGUUAGAAAAUGGAUUCCUAUUUGAAGAGUGCCUAACCGCAUGGAUAAGCUCACAUUAACCCGUCAAUUUUGGAUCCAAUUCGGGAUUUUUCUUGGGAAGUUUCGGGAAGAAAUUGGAAUGGAAUAAUAUAGAUUCAUACAGAGGAAAAGGUUCUCUAUUGAUGCAAACGCUGUACCUAGAGGAUAGGGAUAGAGGAAGAUACGANNNNNNNNNNNNNNNNNNNNNNNNNNNNNNNNNNNNNNNNNNNNNNNNNNNNNNNNNNNNNNNNNNNNNNNNNNNNNNNNNNNNNNNNNNNNNNNNNNNNACCUUUCAAAAGUAUUAAUACAGUCACAUGUAUGGUAAAUGCAUGAAUGUGAUGGACUAAAAAAUCUGCGGUUCCUAAUGGAAUCGGUAACAAAGCCACUUUGCCACCUACUGCUACUAACUCGCCGCCUCCCCACGUUAAGCUAGUACUUGUUGUUGCACCAGGAGCUGUUACGCCAGGCGCAGUAGCAUGGAUAUUUUGUACCCAUUGAGCAAAGAUAGGUUGUAAUUGUAUGGCGGUAUCCGAAAACAUAUCUUGUGGACGGCCUAAAGCACUCAUGGUAUCAUUAUGAAUGUACAAGCCAAAACUGUGAAAACCUAGAAAUAUACAUACCCAGUUAAGGUGGGAUAUGAUUGCAUCGCGGUGUCUAAGGACGCGAUCUAAUAGAUCGUUGUAUCGAGUAGUUGGAUCAUAGUCUCUUACCAUAAAAAUUGCUGCAUGUGUCGUAUACCGACUAUUAGAAAUCCGCCAAUCCACAUGUGGUGUGUGAACAAGGAAAGUUGUGUACCAUAGUCAGUAGCUAGGUAUGGAUAGGGAGGCAUAGAAUACAUAUGAUGAGCUACAACAAUGGUUGUAGAGCCUAGCAUAGCUAGGUUAAGAGAUAAUUGAGGAUGCCAUGACGUUGUUAAGAUUUCAUAAAGACCCUUAUGGCCUUGUCCUGUAAAUGGGCCCUUGUGAGCCUCCAAAAUAUCUUUAAGUCCAUGGCCAAUACCCCAGUUGGUCCUAUACAUAUGACCUGCGAUUAGGAAAAGAAUAGCAAUAGCUAAAUGAUGGUGUGCAAUAUCGGUCAGCCAGAGACCACCGGUUACUGGAUCUAGUCCUCCACGAAAAGUCAGAAAUUCUGCGUAUUUGGACCAAUUUAAAGUGAAAAAAGGGGUUGCUCCUUCGGCAAAACUAGGAUAAAGUUGAGCCAAAAGGUCCCGAUUCAUACGAUAAAUUCAUGAGGAAGUGGUAUCUCUUUAGGAUCCACCCCAGCGUCAAGAAAUUGGUUAAUUGGUAAAGAUACAUGAAUUUGGUGUCCCGCCCAAGAAAGAGACCCAAGUCCUAAUAAUCCCGCUAAGUGGUGAUUCAACAUGGAUUCUACAUCUUGGAACCAGGCCAAUUUGGGAGCGGCUUUGUGAUAAUGGAACCAACCAGCAAAAAGCAUUAACGCUGCAAAAACCAAUGCACCAAUUGCAGUACAAUAGAGUUGUAAUUCACUAGUUAUUCCAGAUGCUCGCCAAAGCUAGAAAAAAACCAGAGGUUAUUUGGAUUCCUCGGAAACCCCCACCUACAUCACCAUUCAAUAUUUCUUGCCCUACUAUAGGCCAAACUACCUGAGCACUGGGUCCAAUGUGAGUAGGAUCACUUAGCCAUGCUUCAUAAUUGGAAAAACGGGCACCAUGAAAGUACAUGCCACUCAACCAAAGAAAGAUAAUGGAAAGUUGCCCGAAAUGAGCACUAAAAACUUUUCUAGAAAUCUCCUCCAAAUCACCAGUAUGACUAUCGAAAUCGUGAGCAUCAGCAUGUAGGUUCCAGAUCCAAGUGGUAGUAUCAGGGCCCUUAGCUAGUGUUCUUGAGAAAUGGCCGGGUCUCGCCCAUUCCUCAAAAGAUGUUUUUACAGGAUCCCUAUCCACAACAAUUUUUACUUCUGGUUCCGGCGAACGAAUAAUCAUUAACUCCUCCUCUUUCCGGACAAGACAUACAAAGAGACCCGCCAACUGUCUUUUUUUUUAGUGAAUCUUUGAAAGAUAGAUUUUGAAAGAUAGAUUUUGAAAGAUAGAUAUUGUGAUUAGUUCUUUUCUUUACUAUACUACCACCCUUCUUUUUUCGUAUGUUAUUCACUGGAGCAAUUAUAUAUUAAAGUCAAUCCGAGGCAAGUGUUCGGAUCUAUUAUGACAUAAAGGUUAGGUGCCUAACGGACAUUGUUUAUCUUGAAAAAACAAAUAUUUCUCGGCGUAAGAAAAAAUCUUUUUUAUUUUAAAUUUAAGAAACUAGUGUAUUUUUUUUAGGGCAUAAGCUCCUAUCUAUAUCUACUUUCCUUGAGCAUAAUAUAGGGUUUUUUAUUUUUUAUUUGAUUCUAAAUUCCAAGAUAACUCAUUAGAAUUAUUAAUAAGAUGGUUCUAAUAUAUUAGCAAUAUUUAGAUUGGCCCCCUUUUUUUUAUUCACUUUAUUACUUCUAUUCUAGACCCUAUCCCUAUGGUUUAUUCUUAUGAAAUAUCUUAUAAAAUAGAAGGUAUAAGAAAUGGAUAUAAUGAAAUUCUUGAUUCGAUCUUACGACCUAAUUUAUUUGAUUAAUGGAUCAACAACCAAACCAUCCAUUUUAGGAAAAAAAAGGAGCAUGGUCUUAUUCAAAUUCAAAGCGCUUCGUAAUCUUCAACCAGUUUUGUGCUUCAAUAUAAUUUCCCGGAGUAAGCGCUAUAGCUUGUUUCCAAUAUUCAGCAGCUUGAUCAAACCAAGCUUCCGCAAUUUCCGAAUCACCCUCUAGAAUGGCCUGUUCUCCUCGGUCGGAAUAGGCAGUUCCUUCCCUUAGAACCGUACUUGAGAGUUUCCUACCUCAUACGGCUCAGAAAUUGCUAUCUUAAUUUCCCCUAUCUUAACUGAAUUCGAUUUAUCAAAAAUCGAUCCAAUUUGUUCUUGUGUUAAGCAGAAGAAAUUAAUUACCUAAGUUUCAAACCCUAAUUUUUCUCAAUAAUUAGUUUGAUCUUUUUUCCCACCUUCAGAAGAAUGAAGCAUAGAUAGAUAUAGAGCCUUCGUUCAAAUUUUCUGAAAGGUAACUAUCCCGGUUUCAUAUAUGAAAUCUCUAUAGAAUCCUUGAAAAAGACUUUUUUCCAUAAGAAAGAAAAAAGAACUUACUAUCUUUGGGAUCUGAUACUACACCGCUGCUUAAUCCCUUAGUGGAUCGGCUCUAUUACAUAAGCGGAUUCCUAAAUUUUGCCCCAUAUCAUGGGAUAAGUAAGCAGGUUUUUUUUAGUUGUAUCGACCCAGUCGCUCACUAAUUGAUCUUUACGGUGCUUUCUCUAUCAAUUUGAGAAACUUUAUCCAUAGAGUAGUAGUAUAGGCCAUACUUUCUUUCGGUUUUUUGAUUCUCGUAUUCCUUCCUUCCUACAGCUGAUAGGGAAAAAUCGUUGUUUUUACGAUCCCUAUGUAGAAAGCCCUUUUUUCCAGUAUUUACUAGAAAAUUUGAUCCUCUCUUUUUUUGUCUUUCUAUAGUGGAGAUAGUCGCACGUAAUGACAGAUCACGGCCAUAUUAUUAAAAGCUUGCAUGCNNNNNNNNNNNNNNNNNNNNNNNNNNNNNNNNNNNNNNNNNNNNNNNNNNNNNNNNNNNNNNNNNNNNNNNNNNNNNNNNNNNNNNNNNNNNNNNNNNNNUACGUGUGAUUCGUUAAAAUAGGAUCUUUUUCCUAUAAAAUCCAUUAACUAUUUAUAUUCCUUUUCUUAUUUAGUAUUUGGGUUGGUAAGUUAAACUAGAUAGCUAUAUGAGUGAAAUAAAACAGCUUCUAAAUUUGUAGUAAAAAGAAAAAAAUCUCAUUUUCUACGUACAAGAAAAAAGUGGAAGUAAACAUAAAGAGUGUAAACUCUUUAUCCCAAGGUUGAUAUUUUUUAAUUACUCAUCAUAUCUUGAAGCGGGCAAGAAUAAAGGAUUCACAAUAUGGAAUUCCAUUAUUAGAAUACUCCUAGUUAUUACUAUAACUUAAAAAUUCAUAAGAAGAAUCCACCAAAAGUUAGUGAAGGGUUAGGAACACUAAAGUACAUAAAGGAUUAGUAAUGGAAAAUCUAAAACAUUAGAGAUUUUUUCCCGUAAAAGGAAUCAUAAUAAGGACUUGCAAUUUGUAGAAAUUAUCAAGUAGUACUUUCUUCGGAUUCCGAUCCAGAGUAUGUUCCCAUUCACUUGUUAAGGAAAUGGCUAUCAAGAACGAAUUAACCCUUUAUCCAUUUUUUCUUUUUAAAUACCCCCUUCCCGGGGGAAAGAAGAAUAGUAAAAAAGAUAUGGAGUGCACUAGAAAAAAUUUGCAUUAUUUCCUUCCUCUAUUCAUGCAGAAUUGCUCAUGAACUAAUACUCCACUCUUUCCAUUUAUUAAUUGAAUUCCUAUAACAAAACAAGUACCAAGUGUUUUAUUCCAAGAUUAAGUUAUUACUGAACAAAGAAAAAUUUGGAAUAUAUUAUAAAGGAUGAGAUCAAUUCAGAAGCGCUUUUUCUUAUUCUAGCAGACGGAAUUCCUUUGGUCUAAUUUAGGACUUUCAAAUCUAUUUUAUUUUACCUAAUUCUAUCUAUGCCCCAGGGGCUAGGAACAGAACAUACGAGUCCUUUCCUUUUUCUGAUCAUAGAGAAGCCGUAUGAAGCUAAGGUUUCAUGUACGGUUUUGAAAUAGCGGUGGGAACUGUGAUGUUAUCAUCGACUAUGAUUAUCUAACAGUUCAAGUACAGUUGAUAUAGUUGAAGCACAGUCAAAAUAUGGUUUUUUUGGAUGGAAUAUUUGGCGUCAGCCUAUAGGCUUUCUGGUUUUUUUAAUUUCUUCUUUGGCAGAAUGUGAAAGAUUACCCUUUGAUUUACCAGAAGCAGAGGAAGAAUUAGUAGCAGGUUACCAAACUGAAUAUUCCGGUAUCAAAUAUGGUUUAUUUUAUCUUGUUUCUUACCUAAAUUUAUUAGUUUCUUCUUUAUUUGUAACAGUUCUCUACUUGGGCGGGUGGAAUUUCUCUAUUCCCUAUAUAUCCUUUUUUGAUUUUUUCCAAAUGAAUAAAGCAGUUGGAAUUUUGGAAAUGACAAUGGGUAUAUUUAUUACAUUAACUAAAGCUUAUUUAUUUCUCUUCAUUUCUAUCACAAUAAGAUGGACUUUACCAAGGAUGAGAAUGGAUCAGUUAUUAAAUCUUGGAUGGAAAUUUCUUUUACCUAUUUCCCUGGGCAAUCUAUUAUUAACAACCUCUUCUCAACUUGUUUCACUAUAAAUAAGAUAAUACAAUAAUAGAUAGUAAGAAUAUUUUCAACACAAAAGCUCUCCCAAA
rnacentral:lncRNA from 1 species